GACGAACGCUGGCGGCGUGCCUAACACAUGCAAGUCGUGCGAGAAAGUUCCUUCGGGAGCGAGUAAAGCGGCGCACGGGUGAGUAACACGUAGGUAACCUGCCCCCCAGUCUGGAACAACUAGAGGAAACUCUAGCUAAUGCCGGAUGAGACCACGAUCCCCUUCGGGGGUUGCGGCCAAAGAUGGCCUCUACUUGUAAGCUAUCGCUGAGGGAUGGGCCUGCGGGCCAUUAGCUUGUUGGUGAGGUAACGGCUCACCAAGGCUGUGAUGGCUAGCUGGUCUGAGAGGAUGACCAGCCACACUGGGACUGAGACACGGCCCAGACUCCUACGGAGCAGCAGUGGGAAUAUUGCGCAAUGGGCGAAAGCCUGACGCAGCGACGCCGCGUGGGU
rnacentral:rRNA from 1 species